CAUCCAGCGAACUUGGCAGAGAUGCCUUGGUGCCUUCGGGAACGCUGAGACAGGUGCUGCAUGGCUGUCGUCAGCUCGUGUUGUGAAAUGUUGGGUUAAGUCCCGNAACGAGCGCAACCCUUAUCCUUUGUUGCCAGCGAUUCGGUCGGGAACUCAAAGGAGACUGCCGGUGAUAAACCGGAGGAAGGUGGGGAUGACGUCAAGUCAUCAUGGCCCUUACGAGUAGGGCUACACACGUGCUACAAUGGCGCAUACAAAGAGAAGCGACCUCGCGAGAGCAAGCGGACCUCAUAAAGUGCGUCGUAGUCCGGAUCGGAGUCUGCAACUCGACUCCGUGAAGUCGGAAUCGCUAGUAAUCGUGGAUCAGAAUGCCACGGUGAAUACGUUCCCGGGCCUUGUACACACCGCCCGUCACACCAUGGGAGUGGGUUGCAAAAGAAGUAGGUAGCUUAACCUUCGGGAGGGCGCUUACCACUUUGUGAUUCAUGACUGGGGUGAAGUCGUAACAAGGUAAGCGUAGCGAG
rnacentral:rRNA from 1 species